UACGUAGGGCGCAAGCGUUAUCCGGAAUUAUUGGGCGUAAAGAGCUCGUAGGCGGUUUGUCGCGUCGGGAGUGAAAACUCAGGGCUCAACCCUGAGCGUGCUUCCGAUACGGGCAGACGUAGAGGUAUGCAGGGGAGAACGGAAUUCCUGGUGUAGCGGUGGGAAUGACGCAGAGUAUCAGGAGGAACACCGGUGGCGAAGGCGGUUCUCUGGGCAUUACCUGACGCUGAGGAGCGAAAGCCAUGGGGAGCGAACAGG
rnacentral:rRNA from 1 species